GUGUCAAAUAUUUAAAUCAUGUAAACCCACAGAAGCUAUUACGUGUAAACCCACUCAAAAUUCUGAAUGGAAUUCCUGUGUGCAAAUCGUGUAAAUCCUUGAAGAUCCAAAUCCUUCGUCAAUCCCUGCCAAAUCCAAAUUGGCCUUCUCUCAUAUUUUUGCACGGAAUUAGUGGGUUUAGAUUUUGCUGUGCAAACCCAUUCCAGAAGCCUUCAAAUCCUUGAAGAUCCAAAUUCGUUGUCAAUCCCCGCCAAAUCCAAAUCCUUUGUGUAAACCAAAACUUUUGUUUCUUCCCACGAUUAAUCAUUUGUUCAAACCCACGUCGCGAUUAUGUGCCCUGAUUCUUCACUGUGACCUACUGCAACUCUCCUCCGGCAGCAUCUCCACCGUCUCCUUCCAACUCCGGCAGCUUCCUCGGUAGUUCGAACACCUCCUGAUCCGACUCCAUGAUUGUCAAUCCGGUUCUCGACAUGCAUAAGUAGUAGAGGAAGAAUGACACUUGGAGCUAAAUUUUCAUAUUGUGUUAAUUAACCAUUUUUAUUUUAGGAUUUAAUGUUGUUAUUAUUACAUGUAUUGGUAUUACGUAAAUAGUUGGAGAUUGUGGUUGACAUUAGUUUUAUUUUAUGUGAUUAAUUCAAUGUUUUUGAAGUUA